rnacentral:lncRNA from 1 species
AUCGGAUGGUGCCCUGAGGGACACUUUGUUUCUGAACCUCAGCCUGAGCACUUGUUACAGAGAUGGAGAACCAUGGGACGCGGAGGACAGGGGGCUCCCAGCUCAGCUUUGCUUCUUUCUACCCGGCUGGAGUGGCAAGACAACAGCCAUUAUUGCUGACCAGCAAGCCUCUUAACCCUGCUGAGCCUCAAUUUCCUCACCUGUAAAAUGGGGGAAAUACCUUUUUGUUGGAGUAACUGCAAGCGAAUGUACUGACGGCAAGUAACACGUUCUAAGUGCACAGUCGGCCCUCAGUAAGUACAAGGCAUUCGCCAGACACCCCGCAGGUGGCCCUGCCUGGAGGGCUCCCGGGGUUGAGGCUAGACUGUCGGGGAGUGUGGAGGGGGAAAGAGAAGAAUGGGCACACACACUUCAUCCCCUCCCCCAAGGCCAGGUUCCAUCCCUGUCCACUCCCUGCCUCCCACCAACACUCGUCAUGCGGGGGACACAGGGAUGGACGUACCCUUCUGUCUUGGUGUCUGCCCCUUAGGGAACGGUGGCAUGGCAUGUGCAGGGUGUGGACGUGCUGGCCUGAGCUGUGUGGGAUCCCAGUACCUGUUGCUUCUCUGCCCGGGCCCUGGUGGGCAGGAGGCUUUUGCCCUAUACAGGACUGGUGAUGACUUUCCACAGGCAUGUCCUCUCUCUCCAAGGAACUCAAGACUGCUGGCCUCCAAGCAGGGGCCCGGGAGGACCUGCCCUGGGCAUCCAUCUCCACCCUGGGCAGCAGGAGGGCUACACCCAGCUGGGGCUGCAUCCUGGGCUCUGGACUCCAGCCAUUGUGCAUUCCUAGGCAGAACCUGCCCUGUCUUGGGCCUCUGUUUCCUCCAACCCUGUCUCAUCUCCCAGGCUGCUGGCCUGGACAUGGAGGUCGUAUUUCCAAGAAGCUCUGGGCUGUCCUACCACUUUCUGCAGCUUGGACCAGCCAAUCUCCCCAAUGGAAAUCUGGGCUGGACAACCGCCAGCGCAGGAAUCACAGCUAAUCCUGCCCCCAGUCAGGCUGGCCCAACCCAACACAUGGGGCUGGGGCCGACGGGGCAGGCUCUCCUGGGCUGCCACCUUUGUCUCCCAUCCCUGCCAGGGCAGACAGGUCAAGCCAUAGCCCUCCUACCCACUGCUGCCUCUCUUGGUGCCCCACCAGGAAGAACAAGACCCUGGCCCAGCACGCUCCCUCUUUCUCAGCUCUCAGUCUGUAGGUCUUGUCAGUUGAUAUGCAGCACUUCAGAGCUCUUGGGAGUCACGAUCAGUUUUCGGUGAUCUGCACGAAGCCCAGCUUGGAGGGCAGCAAGGAUAAUCACGUCACACUGUUUCUCUUGGCCGUGGAGCCGUCAUUUCUGGGAAAGCUGGUUUUCCUUUUAAUGAGUUCACAUUGGCCACCCCAGGCCUUUCUAGGCAGAGGAGAUAAACCAGCCCAGCCUCUCAGUAGCCCCUGGGGAAUCCUCACAGUAGAGGCGGCAAUCUGCCCCGAGAGGCUGGCUUUCUCUCUGUCCACGUGGGCACUUCCCGCUCUGAGGAUACAGUUUCUGGACAGCUUAGGGCUGUGUUUGUGACCGCAGUGAGGGGCCUUCAGGUCACUCCUGUGUACGGGAGCAAGCACACCCCUCCUCAGGGCCAGCCCAGGUCAGCAAGGGCUGUGCUCAGCAGGCUGGGAGCUGGAACAUGUGGAGAGACCAGGUGUGACCUCUCCCAGCCUCGGCCUUCGCAUCACAAGGCGCUGUGCUUCAUGGGGGAAGAGGGCCCACCUCUGGGGAGAAGUGCAGGACCUGGGAGGUAUGGAGGCCAGGCGUGGGGUUCCCGUGUUAUGCUCAAGGUGCCCACUUGUAAUAGCCAUUUGGGGGGGUACCUAUGGUUGUUGCAAAAGUUGAUACCUAUCCUUCAUGAGACUGCCAGCAUGAAUACUCUGUAUUUCCUAGGAUUUCCGCUCUGUUCUCCCUUAGCAUUUGGGAAAGUUCUUCCUGAAAACUCCCUGCCUAAUUCAAGACAGAUGCAAGAGAGGACCAAAGGAAGGGACUCUAUCCAGCCUGGGACAGGUGGAAAAGGGAAGCAGAGCGAGACUCUCUGGAAGCAGCACGGUGGUGGCCCCAGGGUUGGGGAGAGGGGGCCCCAGGAAAAGUGAGGUUCGGGCAGAUCCCCUGUAUUCAGAGCUGCCCCUUCUCAGCCCUCCAACUCUGCAGGGCCUGUGAUUUAGUCCACCCUGGGAUGAGUUUUACACCCACCAACAUUAAGAGCUGAAGAUAGUUUUGAAACCAGGCAUGCCUCAGCUGGGCGAAGUGGCUCACAUCUGUAACCCCAGUACUAUAGGAGGCCAGGGUGGGAGGAUGGCUUGAGCCCAGGAGUUUGAGGCCAGCCUGGGCAACAUAGGGAGACCCCAUCUCUACAAAAAGUUUAAAAAAUUAACCAGGUGUGGUGGUGCCUGCCUAUCAUCCCAGCUGGUCAGCAGGCUGAGCUGGGAGGAUCGCUUGAGCCUGGGAGGUCAAGGCUGCAGUGAGCCCUGGUCACGCCACUACCCUCCAGCCUGGAUGAGAGAGCAAGACCCUGCCUCAAAAACAAAAACAAAAAACCCACUGGCAUUCCUGAGAAUCAGGCCCCAGACCAGGAGAUCCCCGAGGGGCAUAUUACUAUAGAGGCCGGGGCUUGGGGCCAGGGUCUCCCAGAGGGAUUUCUCCUGGGAAAGCCACUAGGCAGGGUGCAGGGCUCUGCUCCUGGUGCAGCAUGUGCUAGUGUGGCCAGCAUACCCCACAUCCCUGCCCUGGCAGCUCCACCCAGCCUGUGGCUGCCCUGUCUCUGGCCUCCCCACCUCCAGGCCCUGCAGGAAGGAGUGAGGCCAGCAGGACACGGCUUUCCAGGGGCUGGACACAGAGGAGGGGGCAUCUGUGGCCCUAGUGGAGCUGGUGCUAAUGCUGCAGGCCUGGCAGGUGGAUGUGGCGCCUGUCCUUCGAAGGGCAGUUGGCAGGGGACGCAGUUGACCAUGUGUAAAAAUGUCGCUGGAGCCUCGGUGCAAGCAGCAGAUGAGACCCAUCCUGCAGGUGGAGAGGGCAAAGGAGCAAAGAGAGAUCAGAACUCCCUGAGGCUGUCAGCCAUCAGGGCUCUGGAGCAGUGCUGCUCAUGCCCAGUGCACAUGUGAGUCCCCUGGGGCCUGGAGAAAGGGCAGCUUCCCGCUUAGGUUGGGGUGGGGGCUGCAGUUCCACACUUCUAACAAGCUCCCAGGUGAUGCCCGUGAAAGUGGGGGAGUCGCACUCCGAGAACUACUGUCCAAGAGCAGGGCGUCACGCACUUUAAUGGACAUAAACCACCCGGGGACCCCCUUAUUACAAGUUUGCAGGCCUGGGUGGGGGCCUAAGGGUCUUCGUUCCUAACAAGCUCCCCGUCGAUGCUGUGGGUCUGUGGUCCUAGGGCUUCUCCAGAAAUGGCCUAGUUUAAUGAGAUCCCGAGUAUUUCUGCUCCCUCAUCAGAGCUGUCUGAAGCCGCCUUCUUCUCUGGGAAACGGCCUGUAUUUUGCUGCCCUCAGACUCCAGAACAAAACUCAGGUCCGUUAUGGAUGCUCUGCCAUGUGCAAGAGCCAUGGGGGAAACGGAGACUCUGGGAGGAGCCCCUAGAGCUGUCACCAGCUCUGACAAUGAGCGCAGAAGGCAGCGCCAAGCCCAGCCGCAGGAGUCCCGCCUGCCAGCCCCUCUGUCGGCAACCAGGGGCCGAACAGGAAGGGGCUGGAGCAUCCUGCCCAAAGCACGCGCAGGCUUGGGAAGGUCGCUGUCCGCCCCGUCUCACUUCCCAUUUCUAAAACACAGAGGACCUUUAUUCUCCCACCUUGCUCUUCAUGGACACCCCCCGCCCCCCGCCACCUUCUUCUUCCUCUCCUCCCUCCCACUCAAGGAUGCACUGGGAUAAUGUCAUCAUGAUCCUGAUGAUGAUGAUGACCUGUUGUCAGGUCUCGACUCUGUCUGCAGGAGAGGGGCACUGGGCUAGAGCAGCCCCGUGAAUGUCCCGUGCCACCUGGGGUGACAGUAGAUUCCCCUAAGUAUAGAAACAACACCCCGACUUUCCCCAAUGUUUCCAGCUGCUGCUGCUGCCCUGACCUUGCGAAUCUGGAUGUAGAGGGCAGGCUGGUGGAGGUGCCUGUGGGCCGUACCCACUUGUCUCUCAGCAAGGCUAGUGAAGAAGGUAGCUUCUUCCCCUCCUCUCCUCUCCAUCCCUCCGAACCUGGAGGGCAGCAGGGAGUGUGACCACUGCCUUCAGCUUGGAGACUCGGUGCUGAGGGCUCUGUUAAUCCACCUCGGGGCCUCAGGGUCACAGCUGAAAUGUGGCUUAGGAGGUUAUUUCACGUCCCACUAGCUUAAGCAAGUGGCUGUCACGGCCCCUCCACCCACGCAGGUGUUAUGCAGCAUGCCCUCUUCCCCUGUCCCCACCUCAUGGGUUGAUGAUUUUCCUGUGCACUUUCUGGAUCUUUCUGAUCCAUGCUAAGGGGGAGGCCAGAAGGGAGCUGUUAGGCCAGCACAGAUUUGUGCUGUAAGCGAAAUUCACGUCUCCUACAGUGUACAUCUCAUGCUGGGGGAGGACAGGAGGAGCUAGGCUCUCAAGAGACACACUUCUGCAUGACAUGUGUGUUCCCAGGGUGCUCCCAGGAGAGGUCCAAUAAGGGUGGAGGUGUAUGGGCCAGACUCAUCAAUGUGGGUCCACAUGCACACACACACGCGCACACCCCCACCCUGAAUCGUGCAGAGGGCACAGGAUACUGACCCACCAGAUCCCUGAGUAAGCAUCAGCAUCUCUCUCCUGACAGAAGACGCGAAGAAACCAGCACGGAAUGGCUCCAGGCAGCCAGCAGGGGGCGAGCAGAGACAAGACAGGACAAGUUCCCUGCAGGUGCUGGAGAAGGCCGACCGGGUCGGGCCGGGCCCUGGGGCCCAGCUGCAUGGUGUCUGGUGCUUUUUUUCGGCAGCUGCCUGGGUGUGGCACUCGGCCACACGUGGGACAUUUUUUUAACAGGGAAGUCGUCAUGCCUUCAGCUUCUUAUGAGGUUUCUGAGUCAGCUCCUGGCUGUCAUCAGAGAACACGAAGGAAGGGCCAGGGAAGUUCCAGGAAGUCAUUCCAAAGUGAUUGCUUGGUUUCCCUUUUCACCACCUGCAGAUCCCAACACUCCAGGAUGGUGCAGGACAUCAGUCUCAAGGUAACUGGUCACAGAGGUGAGAACCUUACUGAAAAAUCAGAAUGUGAACCCUGGAAGGUUCCUGAAAGAUGAGCUAGACGGUUUUGAAACUGUAUUGGGAAUCCCAAGUGUAGCUCAAGGCUACUGGUCUUCGAGGUACCAGGCUGGGUAUGUCGGGGAGGUAGGUGCCUGGUGUCUGCCUGCUGGCGACGAUGACUGCGAGCCCUUUCUCAAGACUUCGGCCCACCUGGGACUUGGGCAACGUAGUGCCCAGCAUCGGCCGCCAGAGGGCGCUCUGACCUGAGACUUGGCGGCCGCAGGGCUGGCUCAGUGGACCGCAGGGGAGAAAACAGGGCAAGGGGUUGAGCCCAUCAGGAGCCAUUCCACAGUGACCAUGGAGGAGCAGAGACUGCAUGGUGGGGGUUGUGAGUGGGGAGAAAGCGUCCACUGCCCAACGACCUGGUCUCCUCGGCAUCAGACUUACACAGCAGCUCCAUCCACCUUGACCUUAGGGCUCAGGGCAUCUGCAGCCCUACUGCCGGCCCUCGGCCUCACUGCCCUCAUCUGGCAGCUUCUAUGGGCUCUCGGGGCUGGAGAGGUCAGGAAGAAAUAGACAGAGUGGGCCAGGCUUGGUCGGAGUCCAUACAGAGCAGGCCCCCUCUGCACGGGGAGUCACAGGUUUCUGGAAACCUCAGCUGAGCCUGGUGCAGUGGCACAGAGCAGCCCUGCCCCAGUUCCCAGUGGUGACUCCUCUGGGGUUCAGCACAUGGGACAGAAGACCUGCCCUGGGGAGGUGCAAGAGAGCGGCAAUGCUAACGCCUCCUGGGCUCCCUGGCCCUGCAGGCAUCUUCCUUCGUGUUCUCUGGGGGAGAGACUGACUGUGGGAAUCAACCUUGGUUGCAAAGGGAAGCUGAGAGAAGAGAGCAGCGCAGGGCACGGACAUGCCAGCCCAGUUACUGGAGAUAUCUGCCGCUGGAGACGGGUUCAGAGCCUAGUUUAAUAUCCCGAGAGGCACAAAUGGAAGAUCCGAGGAGCCAGGAACGGAACACGGACAGAAGCAUGCACGGCCUUGUGCGCUGUGCCUGCCUGGGAGGGCAGCUCUGUGGCAGGAGGCUGCUCACCUGGACACAGGAAGGAUCAGGGAAGCCCGUACUGCUCCAGCUCACAUCCUCACGGGACCUGGAGGCUGGAGAGGGAAUUCCAGGAGUCCAGAUUUCUGAUGCCAAGCUGAUCAUCGUCUCAGCACCAGCAAAGACAUGCUAUUCCCGUCCCUGACGAGCAUUUCCUUCUUGAGAAAGUGAUUUUGAGGGGCUGCAGAUGUACUUGGAGGAAGGUUUGGGCCGGGACAGAUGACGUGCCCACGUGGGAGCUGGACGGCCCCUCUCUGGGUAGCUCCCUGGGAACUCCCAUGUCCGCCUCCCACUGCCUCCUGAUCCAAGGUGGAUGCACUUCAUUCGAGGCCUGGUCUUUCAUCCUUCCCUCUCCUCUUCGGGGACCACUUUGUCUAGUGCUAGACUCAUCGUGCUCCCCCCUUGGGGCUUCCUUCAGCCCUCAGCUGAUUCAAGAUUUCAAAAGGAAGUUGGACAUGGAGAGGAAAAAAGAAAUGAAACCGGGAAGGAACCGCCAAGAAGCACACAACGCGUUUAUGCUGCCUUAACCACACGCUUGACUCUAAAUGGGUUUAAAAAUUCCUACUUGUGUUAGCCCAAGAAAGUUUCUGCAGCCGUCUUUUUGGUUUAAACAAUCAAAUGCUCAAUAAUUCUGGGGCUGGUGGGCCAGGAUAUGGGUUACUCAGAUCUUCUGCUUCACCCCAUGCUCGGUCCCUGAGCCAGUUCUGUCAUUGGUUCUUUCACACCAGGGCAGGAAAAGUCAAGAAAGCAAAAGCAGAUUCUAGGCCGUGGGGUUUGCUGUUUGCUAGCCCCCUGGCAGAGAUGCCUGUCCUUGCAGUCCUGAACUGGUGGCCAAGUGUGCAUGCAUGCACGUGCAGGUGUGUGCGUGUGCAGGUGUGCAUGCAUGUAUGUGCGCGCACACAUUCAUGCUUGUACAUGUUUGUGUACAUGCACACUUUUUUCUGCUUUCAAUUUCAAGCUGUUGCCUCCCUGAUGUGUCUGUUUAGUGACUUGAACCAGAAAGAUCCCCGGUUCUAUGUGGGAUGAGAAUGAACACAGGCAGGUCUCCACAGAAGUGAGUAAAGUAGAGCUGAGAAGAAGGACAUUGUCUCAUGCCAGCCUGUCCAAUAGCCACUUUGCCCCAGCCCUGCCUCAAGCCCCAGAGAGAUGACAAGGCUCUCUCUGUUUGUUGACUCCUUGAAGCUCAGAAAGGUGGGUCAAGAGGUGCCCAUCAAGCGUUUAGGCAAGCACAGGACCCUGAUCUUUACUAAGUCUCCACAUCUCUCUUACACAGCCCUGGGCUCAGGGCUUGGUCCCCUCUGGGCAGGCCAUCCAGACUAAGUGACAGUCAGAUUGUGUGUGGGGAGGCUAGAGACAUCCAUUCUUCAUGGAUCAGCCUGAAUGGCUGGACAGAUCGUGCAAAUGGAUUGUGUAAGGCAGAGUGUGGAAGAGGAGGCUGUGAUCAGUGGCUUGGAGAGCAGAGUGUGGUCAGGUGCUAAACCUAAGGCUUUUCUGGGAAGAGCUCUUAAGAUUAGACUGUUCUCCCCAAAAGCCAAUAAUUCUGAGUGUCUCCAUUAAUGCCUAGGUAGCCCAUACUCUCACCCAGCCAGUGCCCUUCAGCCUGGAACCUUUGGAUGGAGGAUUGGACCUUGUGACCUUCAAGUUCCCUUCCAAACCAAAUAUGCUCUAACCCAGGUAUGCUGUUCUUUUCUUAUAUAAUGGGAGCAAGGAGGCACUGGGAUGCCCAAGGCGUCUAGGGUCUCACCAUGACACCCCUGGUCUCCUGCCCUAGUGGUCUGGGCUGGGUCCUGCACAGAGCCCUCUCUUGUCAUCAGCCAGAUCUCCAAGAGCCACGGCUCCACACAGACCUACCCAUAGAUGGACGGCAGGGUGUGCCCUGCACACAUUCAUCCCUGCCCCGCUCAGCUUCCUGUCCCUCUGCCUUCCUUCAGCCUUGGCCCCCAGGAGAAGCAGACUCUUGGAGGCAAUUCCAACAGACUGCAAUUCCCAGUCCAGCUCUGGCCCUUACUUCCUGCACGUCUCAGCCUGGCCUCCUCAUCUGUAAAGCAGGGGUGAAUACUACCUCUUUGGAUGCAGUGGAGUGUGGUGGGCCAUGGUGGGUCAGAGCAUGGGCUUGGAGCUAGACCACAUGCCACUCACCAGCAAUGUGUGUCGCACAUUUGAAAACUUCACAUUUUCCUGCUGCCUCCACAUCCCCAGACACAGGUUGUGUGCACCUGCCUGGGUGACCCAGUGCACUAUUGUCAUGGGGCCGGCUGUGCCACAAGUUCCCCUGACUGUGACCUAGUAACAUUCAAAUGCACUGGUGGAAUUCCCUCGUGUCUGUUUUUGGUGUGCUUCACUCUGAUCCCCGAUAAAAAAGCCUCACCCGCUCUCUGCCCCCCACCUGCUUGGUGGAGCCUGGGCCCUGGGUGCUCCUCCCAUGCGACCCCUCCCAGCGGAGUGUGCAGUGACUCUGUGGGGCCUGUGAGUCUAGGAACAUCUGUUGUCCUGUGCCUCUCCUGUGCCCCCUCUUGCGGCUGCCCCCGAUUGGCCAUUGCCUAAAACAAUCACACACACAGUGUGGUUCUGGACAAAUCACUUCCCUCCCCCUGCCCUCUGUUUCCUCCCCUGUCAAUGCACAUAGUAAGAAUAAGCUGCUCUUUGGGGCACAGAGAGGACCGAGUUGACAUGCGUGAGUGUUGAGAAUGGUGCUUGGCAGAGAGUUCAGAUUAUCGGGACUUUGCAGGUUGCUAUAGUAAGGACAGAGGUAGGUGGCUCUCGGUGAACAGUGGCCAUUUGUGUUCUAAUCAGGCCCCAGGAGGAAUGCAGGGGGCUGUUUCCCCGUGCUGCAGGGACUACUGGCCUUUAAGGGCUCCUCAGAACCAAGGGUCUGGGUCAGAAGAAAGGUUCCAGGUGAGGGCUUCUGCCUUCCCUCUUGUGCUGUCCAGAGGUGAGUCCUGUCCUCCCUCAACAAGAUGACCUGGUGGAAGGAAGGAGGCAGCGGAGACCACGCGGCUUGGCUGCCUGCCUGUGGGCAGACCUCCAGGUGUGAGGGGCGGAAGCUUGGCCUGAAGCCUGAGGCCAAGCUGAAGGCCAAGCCUGCUGAGGGGCACGGAACCAGACAGGACACAGUGGGCUCGCCAACACUGCAGAGGAAAGGGGUUCUCUCUCUGGGCCCAACAGCACUGGUCCCGCAAGCCUCAGGCCCCCUAAGGGCUGGUCGGUGCUGCACAGAGAGUCUCCACCCCAGGCCAUGGUACAUGCCCGGUUCACUGUCCCACCACAUGCCUCCAUCCAGCUAUGUUGGUCAGGUCUAGGAUGUGCCACUCGGCUCUCGGGGACCUCAGCUGAGCGAUCGCAUUGCCCAGGAUGCUGGAAAUCCUCACGAUAGGCCCCAGGCUGGAGGGCUGGGUGGGCGUAUGGCUGGCCCCUGGCACACCAGUCCCCAGUGCUGGAAAAGAGCUCAAAGCCCAUGCCCUGGGGCCUUCACCCUGCAGGCCUAUCACAUCCACUCUCCCAGCGCCCUGGCUGUAGGCUCUCCCUCUCUUCAAAACGGGAGGGCCAUCCUAAAGGCCCGUACACAGGUGCUUCAUAUCCACAGCUGGAAAGUAGGUCGCUGCUGGUGAGAGGCAGCAGGGGACGGUCCACGGGCUUUCGCGGCACCCUUCCUCUGCCACUGGCUCCCUGGGUCACUGUGCAAAAACAGAGGCUGCAAAGUCUGUGGUGGAACCCGGGAAGCCGGAGAAGGAACACGGGGGCCUUUGAGGCUUCUUCCCGCUGCCCGAUUCCUUUCAGGCUUGGCCUGAUUUCUCUUUGAGACUUGGGCUGGUUCUGCCCCUCACACUUCCUUGCUGGUCUGGACAUUUUUCGGCCUCAUCUGUCCUCUUCUUCUCUUCCCACACACUAGGCUUUGACCCUUGGGAGGGGCUGUGGGGUGAAGAGAGGCCCCAGGCAGCAGGGAGCUUGCCUCUGCCAAGAGGGCAUGGAAGUUAGGGAGUUGGGGUCUGCCUGAGUCCUGAGCUGGACUCCAGGCCUCUGGUCCUGCACGUUCCACCCCAGCCUCCCCUCCUGACACUCUGGGCUGCUGCGGAUCUUCCCAGCUUCCCAGGCGGAAGGCUGUCAAGGAGGCUCUGGUGCCUGUAACACCAGCCAUGCACCAGGCGCUCUCCAAACAUUCAGAUCAGUGGGAUCUGAUCAGGCCUCUAGAUCUAACCUCCAGGUGGGCAUGUUAGACAACAUCACGGGGGUGUCACCAGAAAAUCCAGACUGGGAGAAACGUGACAGGACAAAUGACCUGGUUCUUCAGCACAUACAUUGCAAGAGGAGAAAAAAGGAGAGAGAGAGAUUGAUGGUGGAACUUAGAGGCUAAAGGAGACUUAGGAGACCAAUUAACUGAUUUUAACACAUGGACGUAAUUUAGAUUCUGACCCCAAUAACUUUUUUAAAAAGAACAGUUUAUGGGUCAGUUGGGGAGAGCUGAAACUGCCUGCUUAUUUCGUGAUAUUAAGGAAUCAACUGUUAAUAGUUUUUAGGUAUGAUAAUGGUAAUGUCACUAUGUUUUCUGAAAGAGGAUCCUUAAGUUUUAGAGGUACAUACUGAAAUAUUUGUUUUUUAAAUGUUUUAAAAAGUUUAUUGCUCUUUCAGAAAUAUGCUGACAUAUUGACAGAUGAUUUGAUAUCUGGGAUUGCUUCAAAACCAUCCUGGGGUGGGGAGAGGGAGGCAUGGAGGGGAGGGUGCAGGCCAGCGAAUGGAGAUGGACUAUGAAGUGGUAACUGUUGAGCCCUGGGUGAUGGGAAGAUGGAGGUUCAUUAAAGCACUUUUUAAAAUUUUUGCACAUCUUUGAAAAUUGCCAUGAUAAAAUCUGGAAGGAGCAGGAAGAGAAACAGGAAGAGAAAGGAUGAAAGAGAGGGAGAGGAAGACGAGGGGAAAAAGGAGGAGGAGGAGGAAGAGAAGGCAGAGGAAAAGGGAGAAGAAGGAGAGGAAGGAGAAGGGAAGGGAGAAGGGGAAGGAGAGGAAAAGGGAGGAGGAGGAGAGGAAGGAGAAGGGAAGGGAGAAAGAGAAGGCAGAGGAAAAGGGAGGAGGAGGAGAGGAAGGAGAAGGGAAGGGAGAAGCGGAAGGAGAGGAAAAGGGAGGAGGAGGAGAGGAAGGAGAAGGGAAGGGAGAAGCGGAAGGAGAGGAGGGAGAAGAAGGAAGGGGCAGAGGAGAAGGAGAGGGAGGAGGAGAGACAGAUGAGAGGGAGCUGCUACUGCAGCUGCCGAGGCUGGCCUCCUGGCCUGUGUCCUAAGAUCCUGGAGAACACCAGGCUGGAGAGCAGCCACCCCCUCUCUGGCUGUCCCAUGGCCUCAGCCGCUUCCCACUCCAGGACUGGAGCCCUUCUUCCUUGCUGGGGACCUCACUGGGAAAUAGGGUGGUAGUGCAGGGUCCCCCUCCCUGCAGAGCAUGGAGAGGCAGCCCUUCUGCUCCUAGGAGAUGGUGCUGUUGCCCAGGAAGCCGGUCACCAUGACGAGAGUACCCGCUCAGAUGAGGAUGCAGGCGGAGGCAGUGAAGGUGCUGGAGGCCAGGAUGCUGAGGUAGCUGCUCCUCUCCACCAGGGUCCAGAUGCCCAUGGCCAGGACAGCUGCCCCCCUGACCUGCAGGAGACCACCGGGUUGGAGCAGGGGGUGGUGGGGGCCUCAGGAGCUGCCAUUCCUUGAGUGCCUGCUGGGUACCAGGCACUUCUCGUGCAUUGUCUUAUUCAAUUCAGGCCUCCUAAGAGCCUGUGAGAACAGUGUGGUGGCCUAGCUUUACAGAUGAGGAAACGGAGGCUGAGAGAAGUUUGCAGGCUUGUCCAAG